rnacentral:misc_RNA from 1 species
AAGUCGUAACAAGGUUUCCGUAGGUGAACCUGCGGAAGGAUCAUUAUCAAAAAACGUUAUCCACGUUAUAAACAAACCGUGAACUGUUUCUUUUUGCCUUUGGGGGUGAUAAAACUGAGAAAUUUUGGGAUCAGUCCAUUAGUGUGGUUUGGAUAUUGCCCUUUCUCGUCUUACAUGGUUUUUCCCUCAAAGUGUACUUUCAAUCACACAUUUUUUUUUUUCAUUAACCUCUUGAACCUUUCAAAAAUUUUACUAUACGAACUGAAUUGUUUCUUCCUUACAACAAAAAUUAUUUUUGUUGUGAGACGAAACUAUUUAUACGAAAUAUAAAUACAACUCUUAGCAACGGAUAUCUUGGUUCUC